rnacentral:rRNA from 1 species
AGUGAACGCUGGCGGUAGGCCUAACACAUGCAAGUCGAACGGCAGCACAGUAAGCGCUUGCUCUUACGGGUGGCGAGUGGCGGACGGGUGAGGAAUACAUCGGAAUCUACUUUUUCGUGGGGGAUAACGUAGGGAAACUUACGCUAAUACCGCAUACGACGUACGGGUGAAAGCAGGGGAUCUUCGGACCUUGCGCGACUGAAUGAGCCGAUGUCGGAUUAGCUAGUUGGCGGGGUAAAGGCCCACCAAGGCGACGAUCCGUAGCUGGUCUGAGAGGAUGAUCAGCCACACUGGAACUGAGACACGGUCCAGACUCCUACGGGAGGCAGCAGUGGGGAAUAUUGGACAAUGGGCGCAAGCCUGAUCCAGCCAUACCGCGUGGGUGAAGAAGGCCUUCGGGUUGUAAAGCCCUUUUGUUGGGAAAGAAAAGCAGCAGGUUAAUACCCCGCUGUUCUGACGGUACCCAAAGAAUAAGCACCGGCUAACUUCGUG